GAUGAACGCUGGCGGCGUGCCUAAUACAUGCAAGUCGAGCGAACGGACGAGAAGCUUGCUUCUCUGAUGUUAGCGGCGGACGGGUGAGUAACACGUGGAUAACCUACCUAUAAGACUGGGAUAACUUCGGGAAACCGGAGCUAAUACCGGAUAAUAUUUUGAACCGCAUGGUUCAAAAGUGAAAGACGGUCUUGCUGUCACUUAUAGAUGGAUCCGCGCUGCAUUAGCUAGUUGGUAAGGUAACGGCUUACCAAGGCAACGAUGCAUAGCCGACCUGAGAGGGUGAUCGGCCACACUGGAACUGAGACACGGUCCAGACUCCUACGGGAGGCAGCAGUAGGGAAUCUUCCGCAAUGGGCGAAAGCCUGACGGAGCAACGCCGCGUGAGUGAUGAAGGUCUUCGGAUCGUAAAACUCUGUUAUUAGGGAAGAACAUAUGUGUAAGUAACUGUGCACAUCUUGACGGUACCUAAUCAGAAAGCCACGGCUAACUACGUGCCAGCAGCCGCGGUAAUACGUAGGUGGCAAGCGUUAUCCGGAAUUAUUGGGCGUAAAGCGCGCGUAGGCGGUUUUUUAAGUCUGAUGUGAAAGCCCACGGCUCAACCGUGGAGGGUCAUUGGAAACUGGAAAACUUGAGUGCAGAAGAGGAAAGUGGAAUUCCAUGUGUAGCGGUGAAAUGCGCAGAGAUAUGGAGGAACACCAGUGGCGAAGGCGACUUUCUGGUCUGUAACUGACGCUGAUGUGCGAAAGCGUGGGGAUCAAACAGGAUUAGAUACCCUGGUAGUCCACGCCGUAAACGAUGAGUGCUAAGUGUUAGGGGGUUUCCGCCCCUUAGUGCUGCAGCUAACGCAUUAAGCACUCCGCCUGGGGAGUACGACCGCAAGGUUGAAACUCGAAGGAAUUGACGGGGACCCGCACAAGCGGUGGAGCAUGUGGUUUAAUUCGAAGCAACGCGAAGAACCUUACCAAAUCUUGACAUCCUUUGACAACUCUAGAGAUAGAGCCUUCCCCUUCGGGGGACAAAGUGACAGGUGGUGCAUGGUUGUCGUCAGCUCGUGUCGUGAGAUGUUGGGUUAAGUCCCGCAACGAGCGCAACCCUUAAGCUUAGUUGCCAUCAUUAAGUUGGGCACUCUAAGUUGACUGCCGGUGACAAACCGGAGGAAGGUGGGGAUGACGUCAAAUCAUCAUGCCCCUUAUGAUUUGGGCUACACACGUGCUACAAUGGACAAUACAAAGGGCAGCGAAACCGCGAGGUCAAGCAAAUCCCAUAAAGUUGUUCUCAGCUCGGAUUGUAGUCUGCAGCUCGACUACAUGAAGCUGGAAUCGCUAGUAAUCGUAGAUCAGCAUGCUACGGUGAAUACGUUCUCGGGUCU
rnacentral:rRNA from 1 species